rnacentral:tRNA from 1 species
GGUGGGGUCGCAUAGUUGGUCUAGUGCGGAAGUCUUGAAAACUUCUGUUGCCGCAAGGUGACCGUGGGUUCGAAUCCCACCCCCACCG